GAUAAACGCUAGCGGCAUGCUUAACACAUGCAAGUCGAGGGGCAGCAUAGAUUGUAGCAAUACAAUUGGUGGCGACCGGCGCACGGGUGCGUAACGCGUAUGCCACCUACCCGUCACAGGGUGAUAAUGCGGAGAAAUCUGGUCUAAUACCCCAUAACAUAUGGAACGGCAUCGGUUCAUCUUGAAAUUUUCGGAGGAGACGGAUGGGCAUGCGUAGGAUGAGCUUGUUGGUGAGGUAACGGAUCGCCAAGGCGACGAUGCUUAGGGGGACUGAGCGGUGUUCCCCCCACUGGUACUGAGGCACGGACCAGACUCCUACGGGAGGCAGCAGUGAGGAAUAUUGGUCAAUGGGCGCAAGCCUGAACCAGCCAUGCCGCGUGCAGGAUGACGGCUCUAUGAGUUGUAAACUGCUUUUGUACGAGGGUAAAGUGGGUUACGUGUAACCUUUCGAAAGUAUCGUACGAAUAAGGAUCGGCUAACUCCGUGCCAGCCGCCGCGGUAA
rnacentral:rRNA from 1 species